rnacentral:precursor_RNA from 12 species
GCCUGUAUUUUUGAGCUGCUGAAGGUCCACUAGACAUCCUGAAACCUCAUUGUUUGUAUGAUCCGUUGAACAAUGUGGCUCAGGAUGUUGUGGGCCUUCAGUACCUUCAGCAGCAUCAUUC